CGGCGGGUCGGGCCGGGGCCGGGCCGCAGUGAUUUUCAAAGGAGAUUGUCACUUGAACUACUGCCGUAACUUUCUGAAGUCUUUCUGUUUUUCUGUUUGAAAGGAAGCUUGGCACAAUGUCCAUUGUCUUCUCCAUUUGUGAAACACUAAGUGGAGUGUGGGCAGGCUGAUACGCAGAGCAAAACCUGAAAAUAUACUAGUGAUCCUGAGCCUGGGGGAUGCAGCUAAACCCAGCCAAAAGGAAUUUCUGGAAAGCUGAUCCUGGUUUACAUUGUCUUGAGUUUGGCUUUGCCAACUUCACCAGUCAUUUAUGAAAAAGCAAACAAAAAACUCAAACCAAAUCAGACAAAAACCAAAACAAAUAAAGAAACAAACAAACCCAUGCAAACUGAUCCAACAAAUAGAUAAAAAACCCCAAAUAAAACCAACGGAAAUGAAGAGUUUGUAUUAGUUGUGAGGAUAGCACAGCAGGCAAAUGGCUGCUUCCCACAGGAUCACCAUCAAAAGCCACGUAGAACAGCUGCUCCAAAAUAUACCCAACAGGAGAAAAAGAAAAAGUGAUGCAUGGCAACUUUGGGGGCAGCUCCACAUUCAGGUGAAGGAUGAGCACGCAGUGGUACAGAUCCAGCAUUGCCCACCCUCCAGGCUGCUGUUUGCUCCUGAUGAAAGACCCUUGCAGGACUGUGGCCCCUCUCAGUGCAGUGUCAGUCACUGCCAGAGCUCUCAGCUGAGCCACUGGCAUUUGCAGAGUGACAUCCAGCCACAAUCCUACUGCCUGCUGAGCAUCUGUGGAAGAUCCUGAGCAUCUUCAUGCCUAGGACUGCCGCUUCCCCGGCUGGCUGAUGACAAGAGAGGGGGCGGCAGGCUCCCCCUGGAGCUCCGUUGAAUCCCACUUGUCAGUUGUUUUGGUGCAAUAUAAAACUCAGGCAGCGCACACGGGUCCCAGGGAAACUUUAUUUGAUGGUAAACUUCCCCUUUUCCUCUCCUGGGACCCCGAUCAAGGGGCAAACAAAGACUUAAAUGUGGGGGGAGGUCAGGGGUAGGCACAACUUUCAACAAAUCAGGAGAGUUGGGAGUAAAAAUCCUAGGCAGGGAUAACAGCAGUGAACCAAUAACAUUCCAAAGGAGGAAAAGCGGUUUCAAUAAGCGGCUAAAAUUUGGAGAAAUAGAAACUGGAAACUAGUUGACGAAAUAACUGGGAAAAGGCGGAGACAAAAGGAAAACAGCACCAAGGAAAACCACCAAAUCACAAAUCAAACCAUAAACCUACUAAUAAACCAAAAAGCACGAUACGACAUCUGCCCGUUCUUAAAUACAAAAAGGACAUUAAAGUUUAUCUAAAAGAACAAAAGUUAUUAGUGUUAUAAAUCAUAAAAUUUUACAAACGUAAAAUAAAACGAAUUAUAAUUUAAAAAUUUUUCAAAAACUCAAAUAAUUUUGGAUAUGUCUAAUUUAGCUUAUACUUGUCUUGUUUUUCACUGAUUAUGCAUUUUAACUAUAAUUUUAUUCAUUUCUUCAAUUCACUGCGAAAUAAUAUCUUAAUUUUUGAAUAAUUAGCUGGUAAAAAUUGGGCUCAAAAGGUAAUUAAAAAUUGUUUUAAAUUGUCAAACAAAAACUCAAAAGUGGCAAACUUAAAAAGAAUUUAACAUUUCAUAGAAAGCUUACCAUUUCAUAAAAGGAUGUUCCAUAGAAAGAUGUUUCAUAGUUUCCAGGAGUUAAAUGUGUAAAACAAACAAAUUUAUUUCAUGUUAAAUAAAUAUAAAUUUUCUUUUCA